rnacentral:lncRNA from 1 species
CUCAAUUUUGUACUAACUUAUACUAAAGUUAGUAUAAAAUUGAGUCACUUAUUUCGGGACAGAGGGAGUAUGAUUUUAAGUUAACGGCCAUUGUACUCUGAAAGCCAAGAGGAAGUUGUUUUAUGCUCAGCCUAGUUGCUCUUUAAAGUUAACCAUCAAUUUGUACUUCUAUACAUCUACACAUCAAGGUAAAUACUUGAUGAGGUGCAUUUCCCUCUAGAAAAAGGUAAGGAGGUACAGUUGCAGUAUGGGCUAACAUUGCAAUGCCAGCAUGAUCAUGACUUAUUUGCAGCAUUUAGACCUGGGCAUUCCUCGGGCCGGGCCAGGUUUCUGACCGGGCUUGUAAAAGCCCGACAGGCAAAGUCCAGGCCUGAGCCCAACCCGUCCCAAGCGAAAAAAUGGAAAAUCAGACCCAAUCCCAGCCCAAAGAGACUAAAAAGAGUAGUUCCGGGCCGGGCCGGAUCAGGCCUCCGUGUAAACUACCUAAUUUCUC